rnacentral:rRNA from 1 species
CAGAUGGGAGGCAGAAGGGAGGAAGAGGGGGAAAGGGGCGCGAGCCUGAACCAGCCAAGGCGCGUGAGGGAAGACGGGCCGAGGGAUUGUAAACCUCUUUUGUCGGGGAGCAAAAGACGCCACGCGUGGCGUUCCGAGAGUACCCGACGACAAAGCAUCGGCUAACUCCGUGCCAGCAGCCGCGGUACUACGGUGGAUGCGAGCGUUAUCCGGUUUUAUUGGGUUUAAAGGGUGCGCAGGCGGAAGAUCAAGUCAGCGGUAAAAUUGAGAGGCUCAACCUCUUCGAGCCGUUGAAACUGGUUUUCGUGAGUGAGUGAGAAGUAUGCGGAAUGCGUGGUGUAGCGGUGAAAUGCAUAGAUAUCACGCAGAACUCCGAUUGCGAAGGCAGCAUACCGGCGCUCAACUGACGCUCAUGCACGAAAGUGUGGGUAUCGAACAGGAUUAGAUACCCGAGUAGUC